UCCUCGACUAUUUCUCUACACAGGACCAACUACUGACAGACUGGGAGUUAUACAUACAAGUCAACUACAGAAAACCACUUAUACACAAAUUUGACAAUUGUGAUCAGCUCUGGGCUGGAGGAUCCAGGACAUUCAACUGGAACCAGAAAUUCUGGGAUGCUGGAGACCAGCUGCUGGUCACCCUCUACAGCGACACUGGAGAGCUAAAAGCUCACAAAAUGCUGG